AAAAACCGCAUAAAAAGCCUUGAGAAAGAGUUCACCAAAGGUAGCUGCAAAUAAUUAAGGAUGUCUCUCUGUGAUGGUAAAACGUCGUGGCCGGAGCUGGUCGGAAAACAUGGAAAGGCGGCGGAGGAGGCGAUUGAGAGAGAGGUGGCUUGGGUAAAUGCUAAGGUUGUUCAAGAAGGAACCACUUUGGUGACUGCUGAUUAUAGAUGUGAUAGGGUUUGGGUUUGGGUCAAUAAACAUGGCUUCGUUACUAGAAUUCCCAUCAUCGGUUGAUAAAUUACCUUCUUCAAUGUCAUCAAACUCCCUCUUUCUCUCCAUCUCCAUCUCUCUUCUUAGUUUAUUACUCUACUCGAUGUGAAAUUAUAGGUAACGAAAGUAUGUGAUUCUAAAUCUUAUCAAACAUGACGGUCUGAUUCUCAGGGAUCUUUUGUUUACUUUAAAAGAUGGCUAAAGUCCAUCAAUUU